rnacentral:tRNA from 1 species
CCCUGGGUAGUGAAAAUGGUUAAACAUUUGUCUGCUAACCAAAAGGUUGGAGGUUCAAGUCCACCCAGAGGUG